CCUACGGGGGACAGCAGUGGGGAAUAUUGGGCAAUGGGCGCAAGCCUGACCCAGCAACGCCGCGUGAAGGAAGAAGGCUUUCGGGUUGUAAACUUCUUUUGUCAGGGACGAAGCAAGUGACGGUACCUGACUAAUAAGCCACGGCUAACUACGUGCCAGCAGCCGCGGUAAUACGUAGGUGGCAAGCGUUAUCCGGAGUUAUUGGGUGUAAAGGGCGUGGAGGGGGGAAUGCAAGUCAGAUGUGAAAACUAUGGGCUCAACCCAUAGCCUGCAUUUGAAACUGUAUUUCUUGAGUGCUGGAGAGGCAAUCGGAAUUCCGUGUGUAGCGGUGAAAUGCGUAGAUAUAAGGAGGAACACCAGUGGCGAAGGCGGAUUGCUGGACAGUAACUGACGCUGAGGCGCGAAAGCGUGGGGAGCAAACAGGAUUAGAUACCCGGGUAGUC
rnacentral:rRNA from 1 species